rnacentral:rRNA from 1 species
UACGGAGGGUGCAAGCGUUAUCCGGAUUUACUGGGUUUAAAGGGUGCGUAGGUGGGUAGGUAAGUCAGUGGUGAAAUCUUCGAGCUUAACUCGGAAACUGCCAUUGAUACUAUUUAUCUUGAAUACUCUGGAGGUAAGCGGAAUAUGUCAUGUAGCGGUGAAAUGCUUAGAUAUGACAUAGAACACCAAUUGCGAAGGCAGCUUACUACGUAGUUAUUGACACUGAGGCACGAAAGCGUGGGGAUCAAACAGG